UCCCAGACUCCUACGGGAGGCAGCAGUGGGGAAUAUUGGGCAACGGGCGCAAGCCUGACCCAGCAACGCCGCGUGAAGGAAGAAGGCUUUCGGGUUGUAAACUUCUUUUGACAGGGAAGAGCAGAAGACGGUACCUGUCGAAUAAGCCACGGCUAACUACGUGCCAGCAGCCGCGGUAAUACGUAGGUGGCAAGCGUUGUCCGGAUUUACUGGGUGUAAAGGGCGUGUAGCCGGGCUUACAAGUCAGAUGUGAAAUCCGGGGGCUCAACCCCCGAACUGCAUUUGAAACUGUAGGUCUCGAGUAUCGGAGAGGCAGGCGGAAUUCCUAGUGUAGCGGUGAAAUGCGUAGAUAUUAGGAGGAACACCAGUGGCGAAGGCGGCUUGCUGGACGAAAACUGACGUUGAGGCUCGAAAGCGUGGGGAGCAAACAGGAUUAGAUACCCCGGUAAGC
rnacentral:rRNA from 1 species